GAAAAAGUAACACGCAGGAACUGCUAACUCAUGCUCCCAUGUAUAAAAACAUGGCUUUUUCA
ensembl:Mt_tRNA